rnacentral:misc_RNA from 1 species
CAGGUGUGCAAAAGCCUAGUUAUUUCUAUAAGAUAGGAACUGCAAAGAAUGAUGACACAAAUUAGGACUUAUUGACAAUUUGAAAAUUCAAUAAGUAUUGAUGCAAAUCUUGUAGAACUAAUUUCUAGGAACUUCACUAAGCAUUACAGUUUGAAAAUAUCAAUGUUUUCUUAUAAUUACCACAAAUGUUAUUUUAGGACAUAAAAUUACAUGAUUUAGAGAAUAAGAACAAAGCACAAAAUUCCUCAACAUGCAAUGAAUGAUAUACAUGAUCAACUAGUUGAGUGUAGUACCUUCAUCACCUCUGCCUACGUCGUUGGAAAUGUCUGAGAAUAAAGCUGUCUGCAUACAGUGGAUAGUUCUUCCUGAUCAGGCCCUUUAUGCAUUUCCAAUAAGAAAAGUCAACCAAUUGUCCAUCUUUUCGAACAAUGAACAAACAUCUUGAGGUUUCAAAAUCAGGAUGAUGCCCAACCUAUAAAUUACAAACAAGAGACUCACAUCAUCUAAGCAUAAGAUAUAACUGGGGGGAAAACAGAAUGUUAGAGUCACAAUGAACAACCAUUAAAGGUAAAAAUGACUUGCUAAGGCUCAAAAGGCUUGUUCUUCUGCGCCACCACCCCACCCGGGGCACUGCAGAUAGCUUGAUAUUUCCUUAAACAGCAAGUCAAAUCACACCAGAGGUGCUUCUUACAUUGACUUGAUUUGUGAGCCAACCUCUUAACAGAGAAGAAAAUUGACAAAUCUCAGGAUAACAAAGGGCCUUUUGGGGCCCACUUAUGGGCAGCCCAGUUACAAUACCCAUGAAUAAAAGAAAAAGUGAAGGAUUGUAAAUCAUGCAGCAUAAAAAUAAGCACCAGAUUAGUGCCUAUGUCCUUGUCCCUUGUAUCUAUUUGCCAUGCAGCUUUGAUUACCAGCUGAGACUGCCCUUAAAUUAUAAAUCUAAAGUUUGAAAAGAUUAUGCAUGCAGAAAUCGAGUCUUAAAUUAGGAAAGAAAUGUGGUACUUCCUUUGAGACUAUUUAACAUAGUAAUACCCUGUUAGCAGCGAAUGCAGAUCAAGUGCAAUUAAGGCUCUUCAACACCAUAAUUUCAAAGGCCAUCCUCAUUGUACCAUUCUCCUUCUGCAUGUGAGACCUCUGCCUUAAGGCCCUUGACUAUGAAAAAAGACGGGCAAAAGAAAAAACUACCAGGCUUUAAAAAAAAAAAAUAAAAAAUAAGAAAACUCAUUAUUUCUGUGAGACUAUUAAUUUUCGGCUGGCUGCUGGGCAGCAACAAUCCUAGCUGUUGGUUGUAAGGCUAAACAAUCUGAUAUGCACAUUUUGCCAUUUCUACUAUCCAAGGCUUAAUUUAAAACCUCAUCAAGAAUUUGUGUAACAUAAAGGACCAUGAACCAGAGUGAAGCUAACUUAACCACUCUUGCUCUCACACAAACACAAGUGCACAAGUGCAUAUGGGCCACAUAGCUUUGUAUAGAGCAGAGAGUCAUCUAAAUAUCAUUAACUUAAAACAAUCAUCCUUGAUACAUAAAGCACAGUGUAUUAAAGAAAUGAUAACACCCACGAAUACCACUGAGAAGUCCUCCACCCAGCCCCCAAAAGUAAAUAAAUAAAUAAAUA